rnacentral:rRNA from 1 species
GGGUCAUUAGGUUGGUCGUGCCACCGGUACGUACUGGUCUCACUGAUUCCUCCUUCCUGAAGAACCGUAAUGCCAUUUAUUUGGUGUUGCGGGGAAACAGGACUGUUACUUUGAAAAAAUUAGAGUGUUUAAAGCAAGCUAACGCUUGAAUACAUUAGCAUGGAAUAAUGAAAUAGGACGAUCGAUCAUAUUUUGUUGGUUUCUAGGAUUGACGUA